GGCCCGCUAGCUCAAUUUGGCAGAGCAACUGACUCUUAAUCAGUAGGUUCUCGGUUCAAGUCCGAGGCGGGUCACCA
rnacentral:tRNA from 1 species